GAGGGGAAUUUGGGAUUAAAUCUUUGGUUACCAUGUAGUAGGAGAUGUUUGCCAAGUUAGCAGCCUUGGUGGUCCUACAACCAUGUUCUUUAUAAGUUUAUAUGGUCAAAAUUAAAUAUAAGUUUUAAGAUUGUUGGAUUUCAUAUUGAAGGCCUAGUGGUUGUUCUUUAAUUUUUCAGAAAGAGAAAUUCUUUAUGCACCAUGUAUGG
rnacentral:lncRNA from 1 species